AUUGAACGCUGGCGGCAUGCCUUACACAUGCAAGUCGAACGGUAACAGGUCUUCGGAUGCUGACGAGUGGCGAACGGGUGAGUAAUACAUCGGAACGUGCCCAGACGUGGGGGAUAACGAGGCGAAAGCUUUGCUAAUACCGCAUACGAUCUAAGGAUGAAAGCAGGGGACCGCAAGGCCUUGGGGGUUUGGAGCGGCGGAUGGCAGAUUAGGGAGUUGGUGGGAUAAAAGCUUACCAAGCCGACGAUCUGUAGCUGGUCUGAGAGGACGACCAGCCACACUGGGACUGAGACACGGCCCAGACUCCUACGGGAGGCAGCAGUGGGGAAUUUUGGACAAUGGGCGAAAGCCUGAUCCAGCAAUGCCGCGUGCAGGAUGAAGGCCUUCGGGUUGUAAACUGCUUUUGUACGGAACGAAAAGGCUCUGGCUAAUACCUGGGGCACAUGACGGUACCGUAAGAAUAAGCACCGGCCAACUACGUG
rnacentral:rRNA from 1 species